GAACACCAGCAGCGAAAGCGCCCUACUGGGCCGCAACUGACGCUCAUGGACGAAAGCUAGGGGAGCGAAAGGGAUUAGAUACCCCUGUAGUCCUAGCCGUAAACGAUGGACACUAGGUGUUGUCUGUAUCGACCCGGACAGUGCCGUAGCUAACGCGUUAAGUGUCCCGCCUGGGGAGUACGCACGCAAGUGUGAAACUCAAAGGAAUUGACGGGGGCCCGCACAAGCGGUGGAGUAUGUGGUUUAAUUCGAUGCAACGCGAAGAACCUUACCAGGGCUUGACAUCCCGCGAAUCUCUGUGAAAGUGGAGAGUGCCUUCGGGAGGGCGGAGACAGGUGGUGCAUGGCUGUUGUCAGCUCGUGUCGUGAGAUGUUGGGUUAAGUCCCGCAACGAGCGCAACCCUCGUUUUUAGUUGCCAUCAUUAAGUUGGGCACUUUAGGGAGACUGCCGGUGACAAACCGGAGGAAGGUGGGGACGACGUCAAGUCAUCAUGCCCCUUACGUCCUGGGCUACACACGUACUACAAUGCU
rnacentral:rRNA from 1 species